UGGGGAAUAUUGGACAAUGGGCGAAAGCCUGAUCCAGCCAUGCCGCGUGUGUGAAGAAGGUCUUCGGAUUGUAAAGCACUUUAAGUUGGGAGGAAGGGCAUUAACCUAAUACGUUAGUGUUUUGACGUUACCGACAGAAUAAGCACCGGCUAACUCUGUGCCAGCAGCCGCGGUAAUACAGAGGGUGCAAGCGUUAAUCGGAAUUACUGGGCGUAAAGCGCGCGUAGGUGGUUUGUUAAGUUGGAUGUGAAAUCCCCGGGCUCAACCUGGGAACUGCAUUCAAAACUGACUGACCAGAGUAUGGUAGAGGGUGGUGGAAUUUCCUGUGUAGCGGUGAAAUGCGUAGAUAUAGGAAGGAACACCAGUGGCGAAGGCGACCACCUGGACUAAUACUGACACUGAGGUGCGAAAGCGUGGGGAGCAAACA
rnacentral:rRNA from 1 species